GGGAGGGAGUGACUAGUGACAGAGUGAGUGACACAGUGACAGAGGAAGGUAGUGACUAGUGACAGAGUGAGGGAGGGGGUGACUGUCACUAGUCACCCCAUUCCUCUCUCUGUCAUUAGUCACUCCCUCCCUCACUCUGUCACUGUGUCACCCGCUCCCUCACUCUGUCACUAGUCACCCCCUCACUCACUCUGUCACUAAUCACCCCCUCUGUCCCUAGUCACCCCCUUCCUCACUCUGUCCCUAGUCACCCCCUUCC